GACGAACGCUGGCGGCGUGCUUAACACAUGCAAGUCGAGCGGUAAGGCCCUUUCGGGGGUACACGAGCGGCGAACGGGUGAGUAACACGUGGGUGACCUGCCCUCAGCUCUGGGAUAAGCCUGGGAAACUGGGUCUAAUACUGGAUAUGACUCCACGGUGCAUGUCGUGGGGUGGAAAGCCUUGUGCGGCUGAGGAUGGGCCCGCGGCCUAUCAGCUUGUUGGGGGUGAUGGCCUACCAAGGCGACGACGGGUAGCCGGCCUGAGAGGGCGACCGGCCACACUGGGACUGAGACACGGCCCAGACUCCUGCGGGAGGCAGCAGUGGGGAAUCUUGCGCAAUGGGCGAAAGCCUGACGCAGCGACGCCGCGUGAGGGAUGACGGCCUCGGUU
rnacentral:rRNA from 1 species